rnacentral:rRNA from 1 species
UACGACUACAUAUCAGGCAUAUCAAUAAGCGGAGGAAAAGAAACUAACUAGGAUUCCCUUAGUAACGGCGAGUGAAGCGGGAAGAGCUCAAAUUUGAAAUCUUCAAGGUUCUACCUUGACGAAUUGUAGUUUAAAGAAGUGUUUUCUGUUGGAGUUUUGGUAAAAGUUCUUUGGAAUAGGACAUCAUAGAGGGUGAGAAUCCCGUAUUUGACCAUUAUCUUCCAGCUGUGUGAUACACUUUCAAAGAGUCGGAUUGUUUGGGAAUGCAGUCCAAAAUGGGUGGUAAAUUUCAUCUAAAGCUAAAUAUUGGCGAGAGACCGAUAGCGAACAAGUACCGUGAGGGAAAGAUGAAAAGAACUUUGAAAAGAGAGUUAAACAGUACGUGAAAUUGUCAAAAGGGAAGCGUUUGACACCAGUGUUGUUUUCUCGAAAAUCAAUUAAAAAUGACCGGAUUUUGUGUUGUAUUGACUUUAUCAGCUUUCUGCACUUUUUUCUUGUCUUUUUUAAUGCACUUUUCGUUUAACAAGUCAACAUCAAUUUCUUUUGUUGUAAAAGAGUCAUUGGAAGGUGGCUUUCACUUCGGUGAAAGUGUUUAUAGCCUUUGACUUCUGCAAUCGGAGAGAUUGAGGUCUGCAGCGUAGAUCCUUCGGGGUUAGAUACAUUUGUGCUAAGUUAUAGUUUUCAUAGACAACAUGUUGACUAUGAUUAGUCAUGUAGCUUACUCGCUUAUGCUAUUUUACCUACGCUUAGGAUGUUGAACGCGCACAGAGUCUC